rnacentral:ncRNA from 1 species
GCGCGCCGCACCUGCCCCGUUCGCGGGGCCGGGGAAGCCGUUCGAGCAGCGUCGUGUCGCGGUCCGGGACUGUCCUCAGUCCCGGGUCGUCUCGGCGCGGUUCCGAGCGGUCGCUCCCUCGCGAGGUGCCGCGGGUCAGCGGCUGACGCCAGCCACCUUCCCGACCCGUCUUGAAACACGGACCAAGGAGUCUAACAUGUGCGCGAGCCGCGGGGCAGUACGAAACCCGUAAGGCGAAAUGAAGGUGAACGCCGGCGCGGUCCGGCGGAGGUUGGAUCCCGUCCCGUCGGGGCGGGCGCACUACCGGCCGAUCUUCUCCGCCCUGUCGGCGAGGUCGAGCGAGAGCGUGCAAGUCGGGACCCGAAAGAUGGUGAACUAUGCCUGAGGAGGUUGAAGCCAGAGGAAACUCUGGUGGAGGACCGUAGCGAUUCUGACGUGCAAAUCGAUCGUCAAAUUUGGGUAUAGGGGCGAAAGACUAAUCGAACCGUCUAGUAGCUGGUUCCCUUCGAAGUUUCCCUCAGGAUAGCUGGCGCUCUGUCGCAGUUUUAUCUGGUAAAGCGAAUGAUUAGAGGUCUUGGGGGCGAAACGCCCUCAACCUAUUCUCAAACUUUAAAUUGGUAAGAAGCCCCACUCGCUCGUUUGGAGCCGGGCAUGGAAUGCGAGUGCCAAGUGGGCCACUCUUGGUAAGCAGGACUGGCGAUGCGGGAUGAACCGAACGCCGGGUUAAGGCGCCCGACGCGACGCUCAUCAGAGCCCACAAAAGGUGUUGGUUGAUAUAGACAGCAGGACGGUGGCCAUGGAAGAAAAAAACCGCUAAGGAGUGUGUAAC